CCGCCGCGGUAAUACAGAGGGUGCGAGCGUUAAUCGGAUUUACUGGGCGUAAAGUGUGCGUAGGCGGCUUCUUAAGUCGGAUGUGAAAUCCCUGAGCUUAACUUAGGAAUUGCAUUCGAUACUGGGAAGCUAGAGUAUGGGAGAGGAUGGUAGAAUUCCAGGUGUAGCGGUGAAAUGCGUAGAGAUCUGGAGGAAUACCGAUGGCGAAGGCAGCCAUCUGGCCUAAUACUGACGCUGAGGUACGAAAGCAUGGGGAGCAAACAGGAUUAGAUACCCCUGUAGUCCCUGUCUCUUAUACACA
rnacentral:rRNA from 1 species